GAGAAUGUUAUCACGGGAGACACACGGCGGGUGCUAACGUCCGUCGUGAAGAGGGAAACAACCCAGACCGCCAGCUAAGGUCCCAAAGUCAUGGUUAAGUGGGAAACGAUGUGGGAAGGCCCAGACAGCCAGGAUGUUGGCUUAGAAGCAGCCAUCAUUUAAAGAAAGCGUAAUAGCUCACUGGUCGAGUCGGCCUGCGCGGAAGAUGUAACGGGGCUAAACCAUGCACCGAAGCUGCGGCAGCGACGCUUAUGCGUUGUUGGGUAGGGGAGCGUUCUGUAAGCCUGCGAAGGUGUGCUGUGAGGCAUGCUGGAGGUAUCAGAAGUGCGAAUGCUGACAUAAGUAACGAUAAAGCGGGUGAAAAGCCCGCUCGCCGGAAGACCAAGGGUUCCUGUCCAACGUUAAUCGGGGCAGGGUGAGUCGACCCCUAAGGCGAGGCCGAAAGGCGUAGUCGAUGGGAAACAGGUUAAUAUUCCUGUACUUGGUGUUACUGCGAAGGGGGGACGGAGAAGGCUAUGUUGGCCGGGCGACGGUUGUCCCGGUUUAAGCGUGUAGGCUGGUUUUCCAGGCAAAUCCGGAAAAUCAAGGCUGAGGCGUGAUGACGAGGCACUACGGUGCUGAAGCAACAAAUGCCCUGCUUCCAGGAAAAGCCUCUAAGCAUCAGGUAACAUCAAAUCGUACCCCAAACCGACACAGGUGGUCAGGUAGAGAAUACCAAGGCGCUUGAGAGAACUCGGGUGAAGGAACUAGGCAAAAUGGUGCCGUAACUUCGGGAGAAGGCACGCUGAUAUGUAGGUGAAGUCCCUUGCGGAUGGAGCUGAAAUCAGUCGAAGAUACCAGCUGGCUGCAACUGUUUAUUAAAAACACAGCACUGUGCAAACACGAAAGUGGACGUAUACGGUGUGACGCCUGCCCGGUGCCGGAAGGUUAAUUGAUGGGGUCAGCGCAAGCGAAGCUCUUGAUCGAAGCCCCGGUAAACGGCGGCCGUAACUAUAACGGUCCUAAGGUAGCGAAAUUCCUUGUCGGGUAAGUUCCGACCUGCACGAAUGGCGUAAUGAUGGCCAGGCUGUCUCCACCCGAGACUCAGUGAAAUUGAACUCGCUGUGAAGAUGCAGUGUACCCGCGGCAAGACGGAAAGACCCCGUGAACCUUUACUAUAGCUUGACACUGAACAUUGAGCCUUGAUGUGUAGGAUAGGUGGGAGGCUUUGAAGUGUGGACGCCAGUCUGCAUGGAGCCGGCCUUGAAAUACCACCCUUUAAUGUUUGAUGUUCUAACGUGGACCCGUGAUCCGGGUUGCGGACAGUGUCUGGUGGGUAGUUUGACUGGGGCGGUCUCCUCCUAAAGAGUAACGGAGGAGCACGAAGGUUGGCUAAUCCUGGUCGGACAUCAGGAGGUUAGUGCAAUGGCAUAAGCCAGCUUGACUGCGAGCGUG
rnacentral:rRNA from 1 species